rnacentral:rRNA from 1 species
UACAGAGGGUGCAAGCGUUAAUCGGAAUUACUGGGCGUAAAGCGCGCGUAGGUGGUUUGUUAAGUUGGAUGUGAAAUCCCCGGGCUCAACCUGGGAACUGCAUUCAAAACUGACAAGCUAGAGUAUGGUAGAGGGUGGUGGAAUUUCCUGUGUAGCGGUGAAAUGCGUAGAUAUAGGAAGGAACACCAGUGGCGAAGGCGACCACCUGGACUGAUACUGACACUGGAGGUGCGAAAGCGUGGGGAGCAAAACAGG